rnacentral:rRNA from 1 species
CCUACGGGUGGCAGCAGUGAGGAAUAUUGGUCAAUGGGCGCGAGCCUGAACCAGCCAAGUCGCGUGAGGGAUGAAGGUUCUAUGGAUCGUAAACCUCUUUUAUAAGGGAAUAAAGUGUGGGACGUGUCCUAUUUUGUCUGUACCUUAUGAAUAAGGAUCGGCUAACUCCGUACCAGCAGCCGCGGUAAUACGGAGGAUCCGAGCGUUAUCCGGAUUUAGUGGGUGUAAAGGGUGCGUAGGCGGCCCUAUAAGUCAGCGGUGAAAGUCUGUGGCUCAACCAUAGAAUUGCCGUUGAAACUGGUGGUCUUGAGUACGUUUGAGGCAAGCGGAAUGCGUGGUGUAGCGGUGAAAUGCUUAGAUAUCACGCAGAACCCCGAUUGCGAAGGCAGACGGCCAAGCCAUGACUGACGCUGAUGCACGAAAGCGUGGGGAUCAAACAGGAUUAGAUACCCGAGUAGUC